rnacentral:rRNA from 1 species
GAUGAACGCUGGCGGCGUGCCUAAUACAUGCAAGUCGAGCGAACAGAUGAGGAGCUUGCUCCUCUGACGUUAGCGGCGGACGGGUGAGUAACACGUGGAUAACCUACCUAUAAGACUGGGAUAACUUCGGGAAACCGGAGCUAAUACCGGAUAAUAUAUUGAACCGCAUGGUUCAAUAGUGAAAGACGGUUUUGCUGUCACUUAUAGAUGGAUCCGCGCCGCAUUAGCUAGUAGGUAAGGUAACGGCUUACCAAGGCAACGAUGCGUAGCCGACCUGAGAGGGUGAUCGGCCACACUGGAACUGAGACACGGUCCAGACUCCUACGGGAGGCAGCAGUAGGGAAUCUUCCGCAACGGGCGAAAGCCUGACGGAGCAACGCCGCGUGAGUGAUGAAGGUCUUCGGAUCGUAAAACUCUGUUAUUAGGGAAGAACAAAUGUGUAAGUAACUAUGCACGUCUUGACGGUACCUAAUCAGAAAGCCACGGCUAACUACGUG